GGAUUGGAAGCGGAGCUCCUAUCAUUCCAAUGAAAGGUCGCUUCGAUGGGGUUGCGCAGCUGCUCGUUCAUGGUUCCCACUGUCCUAUCUCAUCGUAUAUCCGAGUCAGCGAGAGAGAAGUGUGUGGUUUGAGAUAGGCUUGUGGCUUGCAUGACCGAGGAGCUGCACCGUCCCCUAGCUGCCCGCUCUUUGGAUUGAAGGGAGCUCUGCAUCUUGAUCCU
rnacentral:pre_miRNA from 1 species